UUCUCCCAUUGAAAGAAUUAUAGAUCAAGUUGGCCAAACGAAACCCAUAACUCGAAGAGAAUUACAAGGAUACAAAAUCAUGCAUAUAAGAAAUCAGAGGAGACUCAAAUAUUAUUCAUAGAUAAUCUGAUCAUAAGUCCACAAUUCAUCGGAUCUAGACAAACACACCGCAAAAGGAAGUUACAUCGGAUAGAUCUCCAUGAAGAUCAUGGAGAACUUUGUAUUGAAGAUCCAAGAGAGAGAAGAAGCCAUCUAGAUACUAGAUAUGGACCAGAAGGUCUGUGGUGAACUACUCACACAUCAUCGGAGAUGCAAUGGUGUUGAUGAAGAAGCCCUUCGUGUCUGAAUCCCCCUCCGACAGGGCACCAGAACGGUCCCCAGAUGGGAUAUCGCGGAAACAGA
rnacentral:lncRNA from 1 species